AACGAACGCUGGCGGCAGGCUUAACACAUGCAAGUCGAACGCCCCGCAAGGGGAGUGGCAGACGGGUGAGUAACGCGUGGGAAUCUACCCAACCCUACGGAACAACUCCGGGAAACUGGAGCUAAUACCGUAUACGCCCUACGGGGAAAGAUUUAUCGGGGAUGGAUGAGCCCGCGUUGGAUUAGCUAGUUGGUGGGGUAAAGGCCUACCAAGGCGACGAUCCAUAGCUGGUCUGAGAGGAUGAUCAGCCACAUUGGGACUGAGACACGGCCCAAACUCCGACGGGAGGCAGCAGUGGGGAAUAUUGGACAAUGGGCGCAAGCCUGAUCCAGCCAUGCCGCGUGAGUGAUGAAGGUCUUAGGAUUGUAAAGCUCUUUCACCGGUGAAGAUAAUGACGGUAACCGGAGAAGAAGCCCCGGCUAACUUCGUGCCAGCCGCCGCCGUAACAC
rnacentral:rRNA from 1 species